GAUGAACGCUGGCGGCGUGCCUAAUACAUGCAAGUCGAGCGAACAGACGAGGAGCUUGCUCCUCUGACGUUAGCGGCGGACGGGUGAGUAACACGUGGAUAACCUACCUAUAAGACUGGGAUAACUUCGGGAAACCGGAGCUAAUACCGGAUAAUAUAUUGAACCGCAUGGUUCAAUAGUGAAAGACGGUUUUGCUGUCACUUAUAGAUGGAUCCGCGCCGCAUUAGCUAGUUGGUAGGGUAACGGCUUACCAAGGCAACGAUGCGUAGCCGACCUGAGGGGGGGUAGGCCCCCCGAGAAGGUGAACCGCGACCCGGGCCCCGAGGGAGGGCCCAGAAGGGGACGUUCGGCAAAAGGGGGAAAGCUUGCAGAGGGACGCGGGGGGGGGGGAAGAAGUGUUUCGGGUGGAAAAACUUUUUUUUGGGGGAAAAACAAAUGUGAAGGUAACUAAGCGGGUUUGACGGGAACCAAUAAAGAAGCCCCGGCUAACUACGGG
rnacentral:rRNA from 1 species